rnacentral:tRNA from 1 species
GAGAAUAUAGCUCAGUGGUAGAAUGUACGCCUCGAAUGCACAAGGUCCUGGGCUCAAUCCCCAGUACUUCCA